rnacentral:rRNA from 1 species
UACGGAGGGGGCUAGCGUUGUUCGGAAUUACUGGGCGUAAAGCGCGCGUAGGCGGAUCGUUAAGUCGGGGGUGAAAUCCUGGAGCUCAACUCCAGAACUGCCUUUGAUACUGGCGAUCUUGAGUCCGGGAGAGGUGAGUGGAACUCCGAGUGUAGAGGUGAAAUUCGUAGAUAUUGGGUGGAACACCGGUGGCGAAAGCGGCUCACUGGCCCGGUUCUGACGCUGAGGCGCGAAAGCGUGGGGAGCAAACAGG